rnacentral:misc_RNA from 1 species
CUCCGACUUUCCCUUCAAUAUAAAGAGUUCUGGACACUUUCCUUCCAAUGCCAUGACUACAUCUUGGACACCCUAAAAUCCAUAAUUUGCAAUUCUCAAGAUUGUUAAAAAGAAAACCACUGCAACUGACACAUUCAAACAACAUAUAUUAUAUAUAAUUCCAAUAAUCCUAUUAAGUACAAGCACGCCACUAUAAGGAUUUUGGG